UUGAGAUUUGACAAUUUAUAUAAGUUAAAACAUCGAUGACGAGUAGGUAGGUAAUGAAUGACGUGUUUCUUUGUUUUUUAAGCCUCCAUAGUUCAGGCUUCAAUAAACAUAUUUUUAAGCAAUGUUUGCUAAUCAAAUAGUAGUUAAAACAGUAAAAAUGUAUAACUUCAAUAUUUUAAUUUUAAACAAAUAUGAUACUGUACUGUAUUGCCGAAUCUAUAUAUUAUGGUGCCAGUAUAGCAUGCGACACAAAAUUAGCUAAAUUGAUAACAUAUAAAAAAACACUAACUGUUUACCUAUAUCAAGUAAAAAACAUUUAAUUUGGAUUCAAAAUACAAUAUAAAAUAUAAACAUACAUGAUUUAAAAGGAUCUAGAUGUCACUGUUAAAGAAUUCAACACAACCUUGUACUGCAAUAAGCUUCCAAACCAAUAAAAACAGUUGAUUAAAAAUUCUAAAAAAAAAUGUUGGAUUCAAAUACCAAAGUAUACUGAAGCAUGUAAUAUACUAGUAAUUGAACAAAUUGUCUUCAUUAAAUGUUUAUGAAGUGCAGUUCUUAGCCCUAAUACUAAACUCAAUAAAUGUGUUGUAAUGGACAUUAAUGUUAUGGAAUACCUAUAAAUACCAACAUGUUCCUACACAUCUCAAAUAAAAAAUAAAGUGACUGUUUACUUUGGAGUUUUGGACUACUAAAUGAACAUUAAACAGUCUACAGUCAAUAUGAGUCAAAUACUAGACUGUCAUUCAGACGAUGUUAUACGAACCCCGCGCCGCCGCCUCCGUGUAUGAUACACGUCGCGCGUAAUGAGCUGCGGCGGCGACCAACCAAAUUUUUGAAAAAGCUCUUCGUCAUGCACAAUAAAUUAGAGCUUAUCCUGAUUCAGAUUAUUAUAUUUUGUUUAUUUCUGUACGUUUAGCUCGUUCUCGAGAAAUAGAGUGGACAAACAUACAUAGGGCCAGCUCAGGCGAAAAUAGUGAACUAGGCAAAACCAAAUUUUGCCGCCCCUAACAAUAUUAUAUUAUCAGUAUUUUGAAAAUUCCGCCCUCUUUUAAAGUUACAACACAACAUUUUUUUUUUAAUUUUAAGUUUACUGAUGUAUUAUUGUGGUAGAAAUAAUAAAAAUAUUUUUGUAAAAAUCCGAAGUCAAAAAAAUUAUUAUUUAUCCAGAUAAGUCAUAGAGCGGACAAGUGAGCAACCGCCCAUGUUUUACGUGUAAAAGUAGUUUGAUUUACAUAAUAAUUUUAAUAACUUACGAUAUUAUUUCAGAAUUUUGUUUUUCAUAAUCCUAAGUAUAUUUAUGUGCUUAACACGAUGGUGUGAUUUAAAAUUCAAUAUAUCUUGUAUAUCCCUGCAACAAAAACACUCCGCUAAACUCCAUGUGAGAAAAAAAAUGGCUUUAAAAUUUGUAUUAUAAUUUUAUAGCUAAGUCUUUGAACUGUAGAUAUCAUUUAUGUUAAAAUAGUCUGCUAAAUAAUUUAAUUUAGCUUGGUGACUAUAAAAGACUUGGUUAUAGUAAUAUACACUGUACAUUUUUCAAUGAUAGUAUACCUACCUAUAGCGAGUAUAUUAUGUACUCAUUAUGCAAUAGUAUUUUGAAAUUUUUAACUUACGUCACCAAGCUAAGUUCAAUAUUAUUCAGCAGAUUAUUUUAACAUAAAUUAUAUCUAGAGUUCAAAGACUUAACUAUAAAUAUGACAACUUUUAAAGCCGAUUUUGUAUACCUACUUAGCGUUUUUUUUUACACGGAGUUUGGCGGAGUCUUUUUAUUGGAAUAUCACAAAUUUUUUGUUGAUACCUUAUUAUUUGUAUAAAUCAUUGUUACGCGACUAGAAAUUAGUAAUAACGUGCUUUAAUUUUAAUAAUAUGAUAUCGUGAUUGAGAGUGAAUGUUGCCGUAGUAUGAUCAGUAGUGGGCUGGAUAAGCGGUGGAUCGGGGGGACAAUAUUAUAUUUUAUGAUAUUUACGUUGCAUACCUAUAGGUACAAAAAAUCGGACUUAAAAGUACUUGAACAUUUUUGGUUGUUACUUUUAAGCCAUCCAGGCAAUCUGCUUGCGAGUUCCUAUCUGCACAAUAUUUCUGAUCGAUUAAUAUCUUAUAUUAUUAUAUUUAUUUUAAUUUUGUAUCUAUUUAAUCGCCAAAAAGCAUAUAUUUUUUACCAAAACAAUUAUAUAAAGAUUGUACCUAAACAUCAAUACAUUAUUUUAUUAAUAUUAACUUAAAUAAAUUUAACACAA